rnacentral:rRNA from 1 species
UACGAAGGGGGCUAGCGUUGCUCGGAAUCACUGGGCGUAAAGCGCACGUAGGCGGACUCUUAAGUCGGUGGUGAAAUCCUGGAGCUCAACUCCAGAACUGCCUUCGAUACUGGGGAUCUCGAGUCCGGAAGAGGUUGGUGGAACUGCGAGUGUAGAGGUGAAAUUCGUAGAUAUUCGCAAGAACACCAGUGGCGAAGGCGGCCAACUGGUCCGGUACUGACGCUGAGGUGCGAAAGCGUGGGGAGCAAACAGG